CAGGCCGAGCGGAGCCGAACACCGCCGAGCCAAGCUCAGCCCCAUCGACUUUUCCAGCCUCGGCUGGGCGCUGUCCACCACUUACAACGCCUGAAACCUCACCCUGGCUCAGGAGGCCGAGGCUUCUACCGGACUCCCGGCCUGCCACAGUGGAUUACAGACUUGUGAAGUUUCGAAACCUGCCCCUAAGGAGAAAGAGGUGGCGCGGUUUGCAUUUCCCGACACGCGAGGGCUCCAGGCAGAUGCAACAUGCACCUUGUUGCAAAGAGCAAUUCCCCAGGCCCCGCCUCCCCAUCCAUUUGGACUGCACAAGCCCCAGAGAAACCCCAGGCCAAAUUACUGGUGGCUCAGAAGGGUGAGGCUAGCCGAAGGGGCCUGUGAGAAGAAAGCCCCCGGGAGCUCUCGAACGCAAAUAAGAACAUGCCAAGCAGAUGGGAGAAACUGUCUCCUAGUCGCUGCUCCCUACCAUCAUGGCGCCGCCUGGAACUCGCUUGUCAUGCCUGUUACACAUGCAAGAAUUUUUGCUUCUUGGUUUUGAAACCACAAGCACGAUUUGUCUCCCACCCACCUUCCCUCGAAAGGGGCUUUUAUUUUCCAUUGUUUUCCUACGGGAUGCAAUUACUUCGGCUAUUCUGUCAAGUUGAAAAAUAAUCAUUUUUGUUUACAGCACAGCAACCUCUAAUUAGGAGCUGUGUGUGCACGAAGGUGUCACAGCAAAGCGACAUGGAAUCCUCGCUAAACGGUCCUAACGAACUCCUCCGUCCCGAACUGACAGGCCAACGGAAACAGGGCCAGGAGGCCCGGAAGGCACGCACCCGUUCCCUGCCGGCCACCCCUCCCCAGGCAGAGCUGCCUGGAGGCUCACCGGGAACCGUGGAGUGGAUGGGGCAAGAAGCAAGCCAGAGAGGAGGAAGGACGGGCGAGGCUCCUAAGUGGGGAAAUGUGGAAAGGAAGGAAUAUCCCAUUUUGUUUUAAUUUUCAACCAUCACUCAAAUCCACCCCCAGUUAAUUAGGAGGGGAAACUGAUAUCUAAGGCAGAAAGGGGGCGGUGGCAAGUAGGGCCUGAAAUCCGCAUUGAAGGUAGAAUACAGAGUGUAAAUACAACGAUAAAGGCUACACAGUGACUGGAACCUGCGGGUGUCAGAAGAGCAAAGGCUGGAGGGCCAGGGAGGAGAGGGGCUGGAGGGCAGAUGAAACUGGCUUUUAGCCCCACAGACCCUCCCACCUCUGCCUUGGAUAAGGCUGUGUCUGUCACAUCCGCUUGGAAACCCAUCCUUUCUCCCCAGUGCACGCCCCCUCCCCUAACCCUUGCUCGCUUUGGGGGGGGGGGUCGUCUAAGCCACAGCCACCAGGAAUUCAGCACCAAACUCGUGAACAGCAAACACUUGAUCCUCCACCCCAAUCUGCUAGGGCUGGGUCCCCUCCAUGUUUUAGUCAAGUUCAAAAUCACUGCCUCAAGAGAAGCAGGGGGAAGUGGGAUUCGAGGGGUGGGGUGGAGGAGGAGGGGAAAGAAGAUGAGGCAGAGACAGAAAUGGAGGCAGUGAAACACGAAAUACUCCACGAGCAAGAGUUAUGAUCAUAAGCACGCCAAUAGUGUGAUGUUCUGAUCAAUAUGGCGGACACUGUCAUUCAUACAACUAGAGGCGCUCUCAUUCCCUCCCCGCAAACACCGACCCCAGGAGUUGGGGUGGGGGACCCAGAACCAACGUAGGGAGUGGGGGAGGGGAGGCAACCUCGGGUUUCUUCUGUGUGUGCGCGAAUUAAAAACCAGGCCUGGAGAGCAAAUAUGGGUGAGCAAGAUAAUAAAAACGAUAUAAAUUAUUCUUAAUAAAAGUACAAAUCCCAAUGACACAGGGACUUAC